CACAGUGCAGCCCUGGACUGGACAGACCAUAGCUGUCUGCAGUGCAGGAAGCCAACUAUUAAGGGGAAACAAAAGUGUUCUUAGGAGUCCUGCUGUCACUGUGGAUUGAGCCGGUGAAGCCCUGAGGGAUUUCAUCGCUGAGGUGGAUGGAGAAGCAGCUGGGGGCCUUGGCUGUAAGGACCCCUAAGGAUGAGGAAACACUUUCAAUGAGCUUAAGGGAUGUGCCCAAGGCCACACGGUUGUGACCACAGCAUGAGGAUUCACACCUUGGUUCCUGUGGCUCCCAUCCCCCCUCCCCUGAAUGAGGAAUCGGGCCUGAUCUUUUGGCCAGAAGGAGAUUAAAAAGAUGCCCCUCAAGAUGGCUGUGCCUGUCAGCUGCAUGGAGCUUCGUUCAAGUAUUUUCUGAGCCUGAUGGAUUUACAGUGAUCUUCAGUGGUCUGGGGAAUAACGCUGGUGGAACCAUGCACUGGAAUGACACACGCCCGGCACAUUUCAGGAUACUAAAAGUGGUUUUAAGGGAGGCUGUGGCUGAAUGCCUCAUGGAUUCUUACAGCUUGGAUGUCCAUGGGGGACGAAGGACUGCAGCUGGCUGAGAGGGUUGAGAUCUCUGUUUACUUAGAUCUCUGCCAACUUCCUUUGGGUCUCCCUAUGGAAUGUAAGACCCCGACUCUUCCUGGUGAAGCAUCUGAUGCACGUUCCAUCCGGCGCUCAGCUGGGCUUGAGGACUUCGCAGGUGAGCAGUAACGGAAAUCAGCCCCGUUUAUUCCUCCCAGCACCUGCCUUAUCCAACUCCCCACGCUGUGGCUGAGUCCCAGCCUGCUAUGGAAGCAUCACUGGACUCCCAUUGAACUCUGUGCAGAUUCGCUGUUCGUAGACAUGGUACCUGAUGGACACCAAGCUACGUACAGCUUCAAGGCCCCUUCUUUCUUUGCUAAUAAAAAAUAAAAAAUAAAAACAUAAUACACGUUAUA
ensembl:lncRNA PVT1 Pvt1 oncogene